AUCCUAAGCUUCCGGUUACCUGGCGGGCCUGAGAGGCCGCUCUCCCGCCUCCGCCCUGGACGCUCCUGCACUGCAGACUCCCCCGAGACGGGGGCCCCGGACCCCAGGGCUCAGAAGGACUCAACCAGGACUUUCCAAAAGUUGCCGCGGGGCCUUCCAAUCCCCUACAGUUGAUCCAACACACAUUUCCUGAAGAUCAGCAGCGUCCCAGGCACUGGACUUCGCAGCUUUUAGAGGCAGAAAGGGCAAAGCGGCCAUCUCCCAAGUCUGGCCAGGCUGAUGGAGGCAGCGAGGAUUCUCUGCACCUUGACAUUCAGAAACUGAAGGAGAAGAGGGACC